UACGAAGGGGCCUAGCGUUGUCCGGAAUCAUUGGGCGUAAAGAGCUCGUAGGCGGUUCGGCAAGUCGGAUGUGAAAUCUCCACGCUCAACGUGGAGGGGCCAUUCGAAACUGCCGUGACUCGAGUCCGGUAGGGGAGUGCGGAAUUCCCGGUGUAGCGGUGAAAUGCGCAGAUAUCGGGAGGAACACCAGUGGCGAAGGCGGCACUCUGGGCCGGAACUGACGCUGAGGAGCGAAAGCGUGGGGAGCGAACAGG
rnacentral:rRNA from 1 species